UACGUAGGUGGCAAGCGUUGUCCGGAUUUACUGGGCGUAAAGAGCGCGCAGGCGGUCGAAUAAGUCGAAUGUGAAAGCCCCCGGCUCAACUGGGGAGGGUCAUUCGAUACUGUCCGGCUUGAAGGCAGGAGAGAGAAGCAGAAUUCCCGGUGUAGAGGUGAAAUUCGUAGAUAUCUGGAGGAACACCGGUGGCGAAGGCGGCAUCCUGGACCGAGACUGACGCUGAGGAGCGAAAGCCAGGGGAGCAAACGGG
rnacentral:rRNA from 1 species